rnacentral:rRNA from 1 species
ACGGGAGGCAGCAGUGGGGAAUAUUGCACAAUGGGCGAAAGCCUGAUGCAGCAACGCCGCGUGAGGGACGACGGCCUUCGGGUUGUAAACCUCUUUUAGCAGGGAAGAAGCGAAAGUGACGGUACCUGCAGAAAAAGCGCCGGCUAACUACGUGCCAGCAGCCGCGGUAAUACGUAGGGCGCAAGCGUUAUCCGGAAUUAUUGGGCGUAAAGAGCUCGUAGGCGGUUUGUCGCGUCUGCUGUGAAACCCCGAGGCUCAACCUCGGGCCUGCAGUGGGUACGGGCAGACUAGAGUGCGGUAGAGGAGAUUGGAAUUCCUGGUGUAGCGGUGGAAUGCGCAGAUAUCAGGAGGAACACCGAUGGCGAAGGCAGAUCUCUGGGCCGUAACUGACGCUGAGGAGCGAAAGGGUGGGGAGCAAACAGGCUUAGAUACCCUGGUAGUCCACCCCGUAAACGUUGGGAACUAGUUGUGGGGUCCAUUCCACGGAUUCCGUGACGCAGCUAACGCAUUAAGUUCCCCGCCUGGGGAGUACGGCCGCAAGGCUAAAACUCAAAGGAAUUGACGGGGACCCGCACAAGCGGCGGAGCAUGCGGAUUAAUUCGAUGCAACGCGAAGAACCUUACCAAGGCUUGACAUAUACGAGAACGGGCCAGAAAUGGUCAACUCUUUGGACACUCGUAAACAGGUGGUGCAUGGUUGUCGUCAGCUCGUGUCGUGAGAUGUUGGGUUAAGUCCCGCAACGAGCGCAACCCUCGUUCUAUGUUGCCAGCACGUAAUGGUGGGAACUCAUGGAAUACUGCCGGGGUCAACUCGGAGGAAGGUGAGGAUGACGUCAAAUCAUCAUGCCCCUUAUGUCUUGGGCUUCACGCAUGCUACAAUGGCCGGUACAAUGGGCUGCAAUACCGCAAGGUGGAGCGAAUCCCAAAAAGCCGGUCCCAGUUCGGAUUGAGGUCUGCAACUCGACCUCAUGAAGUCGGAGUCGCUAGUAAUCGCAGAUCAGCAACGCUGCGGUGAAUACGUUCCCGGGUCUUGUACACACCGCCCGUCAAGUCAUGAAAGUCGGUAACACCUGAAGCCGGUGGCCCAACCC